UACAGAGGGUGCGAGCGUUGUCCGGAAUCACUGGGCGUAAAGGGCGCGUAGGCGGCUUCUUAAGCGUGUGGUGAAAGCGCGGGGCUCAACCCCGCGUCGGCCGUGCGAACUGGGGAGCUGGAGCACGUCAGAGGCAGGCGGAAUUCCGGGUGUAGCGGUGGAAUGCGUAGAGAUCCGGAAGAACACCGGUGGCGAAGGCGGCUCUCUGGGACGGUACUGACGCUGAGACGCGAAAGCGUGGGGAGCGAACAGGG
rnacentral:rRNA from 1 species